rnacentral:lncRNA from 1 species
AGGGGGUGCUCGAAAAGAUCCCAACAAGAUCUCAUAUGAAGUUGAUGCAAAAUCGAUCUGUGGCAACAUUUUUGCUAGAUUGCCAUCAUCGUCUUAACCCGAUCCUUAAGGGAUGUGUGGGAAGAUCUUGAACAGAUUUCAUCAUGGAGAUCCUAACUUAGAUCAAGAUAUCUUCUUAUGAUCAGAGCUUUGUCGAUCACCAUUAUGG